GUGAAUUUGAGAUGCAUAUAUGGAUACAUUUUUGGUAUAUAUUUUGUGGAUGUAGUAAUUUGAAACUGUAAACGAAUGGUAUUAUUGGGAUGUAUUUUGAAUAGUUGAUACAUUUUGGCUAUAUAUCAUGGCAUUAGUAUAUUGCAGGUGCAUUGGUAAUAUAGGUGAACCACAUCCUUUUUUUUCUUUUUUCUUUUUUAUCUACAACAUUU
rnacentral:lncRNA from 1 species